GGACGAACGCUGGCGGCGUGCUUAACACAUGCAAGUCGAACGAGGUCCGCUCUUCGGGGUGGGUUCUAGUGGCGAACGGGUGAGUAACACGUGGGCAACCUGCCCCCGGCUCUGGGAUAACUCCAAGAAAUUGGGGCUAAUACCGGAUAUGACCGCUGACCGCAUGGUCUGGUGGUGGGAAAGUUUUUCGGCUGGGGAUGGGCCCGCGGCCUAUCAGCUUGUUGGUGGGGUAACGGCCUACCAAGGCGAUGACGGGAGCUGACGUGAGAGCGUGAUCAGCCACACUGGGACUGAGACACGGCCCAGACUCCUACGGGAGGCAGCAGUGGGGAAUCUUGCGCAAUGGGCGAAAGCCUGAACGCAGCAACGCCGCGUGUGUGAUGAAGGUCUUCGGAUCGUAAAGCACUGUCGCGAGGGAA
rnacentral:rRNA from 1 species